CCUGAAGAUGUGCCGCAGGCUUAUCGGCCCAAAAAGGGUGAAUGACGAGAAUUAAAGCAAAGCCUAUGGAGCUGCAUUCACACCUGCGCGCCGACACACCUAAACACCUAAACCUCGCUGCCACUUUACUCACGGAGGAGAACGUGUCGAGGGGAGCGCUUUGAAACCGUUCGGAGGUUGUCAGCGCUGAGUAUUGGGUGUGUAAAUACCCAUGUUUCGACACGAGACGAGCGCUUGGACCGUUUCUCUCAGAUGUUGCAUAAAACCUGGAGUUUCUGACCUGCAGUGCACAUUGCUAGGAAUCGUGGCUGAGAUGAGCAGCAGGAUUUCAGUCAUUGUUUCUAGUAGUGGGCGCUGCAGAUAUUCAGCUUCUAACCACGGAGCGCCUUGAGUCAUAUUCACAAUCCGAAGUAGAAAAUGGUGUAAUACUGUAAUGUAAUGUAUGGCACACACUUGUACACAUUAUUAUUUUUUUGGCACUGGAUGGCAGUAGAGCGCAAGGAAAGCGAGGCAGAAGCACAGGAGAGCGCGUCUGUCACAUGUGAGGAUCUGCACCGUUUACACUUGCAAGUAACCGUGAAAAUCUUUGGCAUGUAGGUGAACCUGCCCAGGAAAGGCAGCUGUUAGCAUUUACACUUCCUCAUUCAUUUGUAAUUGAGGCCUAUAUGCAGAAAAUAACCACACCAGAAUUUGCAUUUCAUCAUUUAUAGCCAUUCAUUUGAAAGUUUCUAUGUAAUUGCUGUUGUCUUGGGUUGGGAUGUUUUAUGGGAUUGUUAAGGGUCAAUGACGAAGAUAAGAAACAAAAAUAUUGAAGCUGUGACUGUAAGCUGUAUAUUAUUGAUGGUUCCAUGUUUUAAAAACUGUUUUUCAUAAUGAUUUUGAUUUAGGCUAAUGACAGAAAGUGUUGUAACCACUGUUACACCGUGACCAUGAAUAACAAAAGUACAUAAAAUCAUUUUUAAUAAAAAUAGUUACAAAUGUCUGUCAGGGUUGCCUCUGUGAUAUCAUUUCCUGUUCUGUCACAUGACAGUAAAAUUAAAGUGGAAAAAACAUUACCUUUUUAAAUUUAUUUUAAAAAUGGAAGUCUUAACUUAAGCAUACAACUUCUAUGCCUUGGAAGAAUUUAAGCCUUUAAAUGUGUGUGAUCAUAAGGUUACUCACUUCUUUUCACUGACCCUUUGCUUUAUGAAUAAUAAAAUAAAGAAAUAAUAUGGUCCCAAGCCUGCUAGCGCCAGCCAAAUUAUUUAGGCACAAUUUGCAACAUGGUUCUUCUGUACUUUUUUUUUUUUUUUAUUUGAUUAAUUUGAAUAAAG
rnacentral:lncRNA from 1 species